UACGGAAGGCAGCGGUGGGGAAUAUUGCACAAUGGGCGCAAGCCUGAUGCAGCCAUGCCGCGUGUAUGAAGAAGGCCUUCGGGUUGUAAAGUACUUUCAGUCGUGAGGAAGGUGUUAAGGUUAAUAACCUUAGCAAUUGACGUUAGCGACAGAAGAAGCACCGGCUAACUCCGUGCCAGCAGCCGCGGUAAUACGGAGGGUGCGAGCGUUAAUCGGAAUUACUGGGCGUAAAGGGCACGCAGGCGGUUAAUUAAGUUGGAUGUGAAAUCCCCGAGCUUAACCUGGGAAUGGCAUUCAAGACUGGUUAGCUAGAGUCUUGUAGAGGGGGUAGAAUUCCAUGUGUAGCGGUGAAAUGCGUAGAGAUGUGGAGGAAUACCGGUGGCGAAGGCGGCCCCUGGACAAAGACUGACGCUCAUGUGCGAAAGCGUGGGGAGCAAACAGGGAUUAGAUACC
rnacentral:rRNA from 1 species